ACGGAGGGAGCAAGCGUUACUCGGAAUUAUUGGGCGUAAAGGGCGCGUAGGCGAUCUGACAAGUCUGGUGUGAAAGCCCACAUGUUAACUGUGGAAGUGCAUUAGAAACUGUUGGAUUUGAGUUCAGGAGAGGAAGGCAGAAUUCCCGGUGUAGCGGUGAAAUGCGUAGAGAUCGGGAGGAAUACCAGUGGCGAAGGCGGCCUUCUGGACUGACACUGACGCUGAGGCGCGAAAGCCAGGGGAGCAAACGGGA
rnacentral:rRNA from 1 species